CCACGGGAUCGAUAGACCAGACCUACACGCACAGCAAUGUGUUCAGGGAACUGGCACUAACCGGCCGAAAACUUACAACAACCC
rnacentral:rRNA from 1 species